AGGGAUCAUUACAAGUGACCCCGGUCUUACCACCGGGAUGUUCAUAACCCUUUGUUGUCCGACUCUGUUGCCUCCGGGGCGACCCUGCCUUCGGGCGGGGGCUCCGGGUGGACACUUCAAACUCUUGCGUAACUUUGCAGUCUGAGUAAACUUAAUUAAUAAAUUAAAACUUUUAACAACGGAUCUCUUGGUUCUGGCAUCGAUGAAGAACGCAGCGAAAUGCGAUAAGUAAUGUGAAUUGCAGAAUUCAGUGAAUCAUCGAAUCUUUGAACGCACAUUGCGCCCCCUGGUAUUCCGGGGGGCAUGCCUGUUCGAGCGUCAUUUCACCACUCAAGCCUCGCUUGGUAUUGGGCAACGCGGUCCGCCGCGUGCCUCAAAUCGACCGGCUGGGUCUUCUGUCCCCUAAGCGUUGUGGAAACUAUUCGCUAAAGGGUGUUCGGGAGGCUACGCCGUAAAACAACCCCAUUUCUAAGGUUGACCUCGGAUCAGGUAGGGAUACCCGCUGAACUUAAGCAUAUCAAUAAGCGGAGGAAAAGAAACCAACAGGGAUUGCUCUAGUAACGGCGAGUGAAGCAGCAAUAGCUCAAAUUUGAAAUCUGGCGUCUUCGACGUCCGAGUUGUAAUUUGUAGAGGAUGCUUCUGAGUAACCACCGACCUAAGUUCCUUGGAACAGGACGUCAUAGAGGGUGAGAAUCCCGUAUGCGGUCGGAAAGGUGCUCUAUACGUAGCUCCUUCGACGAGUCGGGUUGUUUGGGAAUGCAGCUCUAAAUGGGAGGUAAAUUUCUUCUAAAGCUAAAUAUUGGCCAGAGACCGAUAGCGCACAAGUAGAGUGAUCGAAAGAUGAAAAGCACUUUGGAAAGAGAGUUAAAAAGCACGUGAAAUUGUUAAAAGGGAAGGGAUUGCAACCAGACUUGCUCGCGGUGUUCCGCCGGCCUUCUGACCGGUCUACUCGCCGCGUUGCAGGCCAGCAUCGUCUGGUGCCGCUGGAUAAGACUUGAGGAAUGUAGCUCCCUCGGGAGUGUUAUAGCCUCUUGUGAUGCAGCGAGCGCCGGGCGAGGUCCGCGCUUCGGCUAGGAUGCUGGCGUAAUGGUCGUAAUCCGCC
rnacentral:rRNA from 1 species